UCAACCAUCAAGCCUAGCUUGUCGUUGGACCCCUUUGCAGCUGAAAUAUGCGGCAGGUCCGAAAGAUAAUGACGGCGUCGUGUUUGACCCUAGAUGCAACGAGCUUUUAUAGCACGCAUUGAAGUGAUCAGCCGACCCGGUCUUUAACCAUCAUUUUCUAA
rnacentral:misc_RNA from 1 species